GGUGGAGCCACAGGCUUCUCUUGUGGAGCAGCAACAGCUUUCUCCGCUGGAGCUGGUAGUGAUGGAGAUGGUUCUGAUACGUUGUUAACGGUCUCCGUCACCUUCUUCGGUUCCUCUUCGGCCAUGUCGUAUGACGUCAGGAGACAAAAGAAUCACCAACCCCCGGUGGCGUCACAUGAUGUUAAUAAAAAGGUUAGAGAAAUACUGCGAAAUAAAUAUUUGAUACGUUACGUUACUUAUGUAGCCCCAAAAGGAGUCUCCUUUAUAACUUGUAACAUUUCUUUACGCGAAUCUUGUUUCUUAUCGAAACCGUAAAGAUUUAUAGUUACUGUAAAAUGGUAAAGUUUACCAGAUGCAUAUUGAUCAUAAUAUAUAUGCUAAUUCCGGAAUAUCAUAAAUAUUAAUGAUUCUAUGACGACAGAAACGAAUCUGUAGGAUUUAUAGGAUUGUGUUACCUGUUGAAUCUUGUAUUUAUAAAUUAAAUUUACGGCGUCGAAUAUAUAAUUCUUAUCUUGUGGAAUAAUAGAUUUUUUUAAUAAAGGUUUGAGAAAAUAGACUGGUUCUUUAGUUUCGUGUUGCCUACGUUGUCUACCAUGUCACUCAACAUUUUUUCUAAAAUGUAUAUAAAUAUUUUAUUGAUUUGAUAGGUCCUUUUAUAAAGAAAUUCGUAUUCCUUCGAACCUUAUCUUAACUUUUAUUCCACACAUAAAAUGAAAUACAUACAACUAAUCUAUGAAAAUAUGACAACGGACCCAACAUUUUCUCAUAUGAUGGAGGGAGGUUGGACGGUUCGAAACUCAAUACUUAUCUCUGGGAUCUAAGAACAUCUGUAUUGGUGGGAUGAAGAGAGAGGGUUUAGUCAUAGGAGAGUAAGGAACAGUCCUUAAUUAAGGGCUUUUUCCUUCUCUUUCUUCUUCGGUUCCCACCUCUUUCCCCUAAAGGAUGCCUUAAGGGCCUUCCAAUAUAGAUGCUCUAAGGCCCACCUGACAAAAAUUCGGGCCACUCAAUCGGCAAAAGCCAUUUGCAUCUGAUACUCAUUGAAUUUGAGCCUAUAUAUGUGGCUACUUGCUCUUGCUCAGCAGCACGUCUUGGGUUAGCUUAUAUUCGUAGUAGUCAAGAGCCCCCCGAAGAUAGAGCAAUCUACAGUAUCAUCUGUUAAAUUAUCUUAACUUCCAACCUAAAACUAAUUGGUGCUAAGUGGAGUGGCCCAUCCAUUUUAUAUAUUACUAAAGAUCCCUUCCAAUAUCCGAUGUGGGAUAAUUAUCCCUAAUACGCCAACUCGAGAUGAUGGCUCUUUGAGCGUCAAUCUCGGAAUGUUCGGGCAACGAUCGAUGAGCCGACUAUGGGCUGGAUCGAUAAUGAAUCGGAUUGGACUGCAUGGAUCAGACUCUAAUACCAUGUUAAGCUAGAUGGGCUUCCAACCUAAAACCAAUUGGUGCUAAGUGAAGUGGCCCAUCCAUUUUAUAUAUUGCUAAAGAUCCCUUCCAAUAUCCGAUGUGGGACAAUUAUUUCUAAUAUCAUCAUGUGACCAACUUUUCGUACAGAAAGUUAAUCGGCGAAAACAACUAAUACAUUUAUCAACAUAUCAUUUUGUGAAUAAAUAAUCGCAAGAGCAUAUGAAUUUGUAUUAAUAUGCAUAUGAAUUUGUAUUAAUAUCAUGCUACAUAGUGCAUAAUGGUUGUUUGUUAGAAAACUGAUGAUUAAAAGAUUCAGAAAAUAAAUUAGUUUAUAGAAUUUGUAAGAGACCAAUUACUAAACAAGAAUUAGUAUUUUCUUCGGAUUUGGUUUGGUUUAACUUUGAUCGAUCCAGUAUCAAAGCUAUAACUGAACCUCAAGUGAAGGCUUCUCGUUCAGUUUGGUUUAGAUGCAAUGUACUUUGGUUACUCCUUUAAAUGGUUCAA